GAAAGGGCACCUCGUCCCACUCCCCUGCAAGGAACAGGGACGCCUACCGCCAGAUGAGGUGGCUCUGAGCCUGGUCCAGUCCGGACCUUGAAUGACUGUCGGGGCACCCCCCACCUCUCUGGGCAAGAUGUUCCAGAGCCAAACCAGCCUUCUGUAAAGAACAUCUUCCUCACACCCAGCCUAAAUCUCCCCUCUUUCUCUUUGAAUCUAUUUCCCCUUGUCCUGUCACAACUGACCCUGCUAAGGAGCCUGGCCUCUUGCUUCUUCAAGCCCCCCCUUAGAUACUGGAAGGCCAAUAUCACGUCUCCCCAGAGCCGUUAUUUCUCCUGACUGAAGAGCCCCACCUCUCUCAGCCUGUCCUCGUACGGGAGGUGUUCCACCUCUGGCAUUAUUUUUGUGGCCCUCCUCUGGAUGCACUCUAGCAGCUCAACAUCUCUCCUGUCACUGUCAUUGAUGGGUCACCGUAGACUUUAGAAAGUAGUGGCCUUAAUGCAGCAUGUGAAGAUGUGCCUGUGAGCAGACAGUCGCAGGCAGCAACGAGGAUUGGCGGAGCGCUGCGUCACACCGGUGUCUUCUCCUUGCACACAGGUUUCAAAAGGAGUUUGUAGCCAAACCACCACCUGGGAAAUACCGCAAGCGCUCCGCAGACGUCCCUGCGGAGGGGAAGCCAAAGAAAGAAGAGGUUUUGCAACCUCUUGUGGAGGGCAAGACAGUGAGAUUUGCUGGACGCCCCACCUUCAUCAAACGCUUGAGCACUGCAAGUAUAGAGGGAGGACACUUCGAAAGAAUAAGGAGCUUGCUGAUGAAGGAGAGCUCCGCAUCCAGGCUGCUGCCAGCGAUCCGAGGAGUGCCUGAAGCCCAAAAGCAGCUGGCGACCUGCCAGCUGCAGGGCCAAGCAGGAACUGAAGGCCAGGAAGACGUGGGCCAAGCACACGGAACAAAACAUGUGAGGUUCCAUGAAGAUGAUCGAGAAGCAGACCGUGGAGCACGGAAAAUGAAGAAAGCAAAGGCCUCGUACCCUCUGAUCUCCGGGAGGCCUUUUAACAAAGAUAAGAGAUCUUCAUUGAGGGCUGAGGCUAGCCUUUCCAAGGAGUCCAAAGGCAGACCAUCCAGGCUCCCACUUCUGGCUCGUGACUCAGUCAAACUGCUCAGGCAGAGGGCAAAGAAGGUCAGGCUAGCAGAGGAAAAACCUGAGGGGAUGGCAGCAUCCACAUCUCAUUGCGAGUCCAGCCUGCCAACGGAGUCCUCCACGCACAGAUCUGGAUUGCUGCCACCCAUACGCCAAGGAGCGGGGACUCCGAAGGAUCAGCCUCCAAAGACCAAAGCUUCCAACAGCAGGCAGGGGACACCCGGCCCAUGCUGAUGUGGGCAUGGGCUGUCCUGGACAGACGGAGCUCCACGUGAGGCUGCAAAACCCUGCUGCUGGACGUGUUCUCGGCAAGGGAGAAAGAGAGGGAGAGGAAUGGCUGCCCUCCCCUCCCCUCGGUGUGCUGACCCAAAGCCACCCCCAGGGUCUGCAUGUGGGCAAAGAAUUCCCUAAGCCUGCACUCUCCCUUCUGCUUUCCGACCGCGUGGAAAGAGAUUGAGAAAAAUAAAAGCAAUGGUCUUAUAGAGUUCUGUGGUGGA
rnacentral:lncRNA from 1 species